rnacentral:lncRNA from 1 species
UGCCCAUCGUUUCGGCGUCGCUCAGCAGCCCUGAAGGCUUAAGGCACGGACGGAUAGGAAAGCGGGAAGUCCUCUGGUGAUUAAAAAAAAAAAAGGUGGGGAGGGGAAAAAAAUCUAAGGCGGGGGGAGAAGAGAGCCAGCCGAGGAGCCGCUGAGCGCCUCCUCAGCAAGCUUCAUCAGCAGCACUACUAAGGCGGCGAGGCUGCCUGCCUGCCUGCCCGCCCGUGCCCUGGAAAUCUGCCUGCUUCGGCUCGAAGGCAUCGCUUUGCACUUUCCCCUAUCAGGUGAUGGUGAACUGAGACAGGACUCUGUAUGAUGCCUUGAAGUAAGUUCAGUGUCCUCUUAUUUAUUUUUUCCCCUCCCCCUUCUUAUGUCAUCACAGUGGUUGCCUUAUGAGCUG